rnacentral:rRNA from 1 species
GAUGAACGCUGGCGGCGUGCCUAAUACAUGCAAGUCGAGCGAACGGACGAGAAGCUUGCUUCUCUGAUGUUAGCGGCGGACGGGUGAGUAACACGUGGAUAACCUACCUAUAAGACUGGGAUAACUUCGGGAAACCGGAGCUAAUACCGGAUAAUAUUUUGAACCGCAUGGUUCAAAAGUGAAAGACGGUCUUGCUGUCACUUAUAGAUGGAUCCGCGCUGCAUUAGCUAGUUGGUAAGGUAACGGCUUACCAAGGCAACGAUGCAUAGCCGACCUGAGAGGGUGAUCGGCCACACUGGAACUGAGACACGGUCCAGACUCCUACGGGAGGCAGCAGUAGGGAAUCUUCCGCAAUGGGCGAAAGCCUGACGGAGCAACGCCGCGUGAGUGAUGAAGGUCUUCGGAUCGUAAAACUCUGUUAUUAGGGAAGAACAUAUGUGUAAGUAACUGUGCACAUCUUGACGGUACCUAAUCAGAAAGCCACGGCUAACUACGUGCCGGCAGCCGCGGUAAUACGUAGGUGGCAAGCGUUAUCCGGAAUUAUUGGGCGUAAAGCGCGCGUAGGCGGUUUUUUAAGUCUGAUGUGAAAGCCCACGGCUCAACCGUGGAGGGUCAUUGGAAACUGGAAAACUUGAGUGCAGAAGAGGAAAGUGGAAUUCCAUGUGUAGCGGUGAAAUGCGCAGAGAUAUGGAGGAACACCAGUGGCGAAGGCGACUUUCUGGUCUGUAACUGACGCUGAUGUGCGAAAGCGUGGGGAUCAAACAGGAUUAGAUACCCUGGUAGUCCACGCCGUAAACGAUGAGUGCUAAGUGUUAGGGGGUUUCCGCCCCUUAGUGCUGCAGCUAACGCAUUAAGCACUCCGCCUGGGGAGUACGACCGCAAGGUUGAAACUCAAAGGAAUUGACGGGGACCCGCACAAGCGGUGGAGCAUGUGGUUUAAUUCGAGGCAACGCGAAGAACCUUACCAAAUCUUGACAUCCUUUGACAACUCUAGAGAUAGAGCUUUCCCCUUCGGGGGACAAAGUGACAGGUGGUGCAUGGUUGUCGUCAGCUCGUGUCGUGAGAUGUUGGGUUAAGUCCCGCAACGAGCGCAACCCUUAAGCUUAGUUGCCAUCAUUAAGUUGGGCACUCUAAGUUGACUGCCGGUGACAAACCGGAGGAAGGUGGGGAUGACGUCAAAUCAUCAUGCCCCUUAUGAUUUGGGCUACACACGUGCUACAAUGGACAAUACAAAGGGCAGCGAAACCGCGAGGUCAAGCAAAUCCCAUAAAGUUGUUCUCAGUUCGGAUUGUAGUCUGCAACUCGACUACAUGAAGCUGGAAUCGCUAGUAAUCGUAGAUCAGCAUGCUACGGUGAAUACGUUCCCGGGUCU